GUAAUAAAUUUCUUCUUCUUUCAUUUACCGAUUAAUUUAAUUGAGAAACCCAAACGUUUCAUUCUUCCUUCAUUGGUAGUAAUAGCCCAUUAAUUUCUACCAAAACCCUUUCUUCUUCCUCUUUGAUGACAACAAUUUCAAUGCUAAUAUCUAUUUUUUUAUCUCCACGGAUCAAAAGAGACUUCCACUUUUCCUCCAUCCUCCAUGGAUAAAAAGAGAGUUCCACUUUUCUUCUGAAACCCAUCAAAGUCCCUGUCAAAAUUGCACUGUAUGUGAUAUGACUUGGAAUUCAACUCAAGUUGGUAAUUUAAGGGGCGGAAAGAUGGGAAAAACGAUCUUGGACUUUGUUAUCAAUACAUACCCUCACCAAAAUUUCAAGCUUUUGGUCAUCUAUCUUCACUUUCUCUUGCACGUUCAGUCACAAAUUAGAAGAGAAUCAUUUUUUCCCAGUUUUUGUAGCUAUAGAUCAACCAUUGUUAACAUUCGUUUGCCUUAUAUUUAAUUCACUUUUUUUGAACCGUUGUUUAUAUGCCUUUUUGAAGAAGGACAUAUGUAUUGUCUUUUCAGCGGACUUCACAAAUUGUGCUUAUGGCGCCGGAAGAAGAGAAGAAGACUCACUCGAUUUCCCCAUUCUGAGGUUCGGAGCACAUUAAUUUUUGUUAAGUUAUUUAACUUUACUUGCAGUUGUGUUCUUCUACCAACAAAUUUUAAAGAAAUUGGAACGAUUUUUCUUUUUUGGAGAUAAUAGCAGCUAUUCGGAGUUGCCCUUUACUUUGCGCUAAGAGAAAAACUUAACCGGAAAAGGGUCAAAUAUGUCCCUAUACUAUAGAAAAAGGUCUAAUAUUGCGCUCUGUUAUAUUAUCAGUCCAAAUAUAUCCCUAACGUCAUACUAUCGGUCCAAAUAUAUUCCUGACAUUAUAAAAGUGGUACAAACCCACCCCUCCUCCAUUAAUUGACUCCCUAUGACAACAUUUCAUUGCUACAUCACCAUUAUACUUCCAUUUUCAUCCCUUACCCACAACCUUUCUUUCCCUUUCAUUUGAAGAAAAUCACAGAUCAUAGAUAUACAAACAAACUGUAUCAAAAGAAAUGCUAAUAGCUAAAGAUAAUAUGAACAACGUGAACCGAGAAAAUUCUAAUUUUGCUAUUCAAAAUUCAUGCUUAUACGAACGAAAAUACAUUUUGUAUUAUAUAAAAAACUAAGCAAAGAUACAUGCAAACUAGUUUAAGGUUUCAAAAUUGACCAUGGUGAGAAAGAAAAACAACCUAGACACGAGAGUUAAUAUUUUUUGUUUCUUUCUCUUCAACCACAUAUCUGGAAGGCUACCAUUUUUUCUCUCUUUAGGUUUUAUGUUAAAAUAAAUGUCCUACUAAAUUUUCCCUAAAUAGGUCUUACAAAUUCAGCGGCAACACAAGGAAAUGCAAAAUAAAAUACAAAAUUGUAAGAUCAAGUGAAAGGUACGUACAAUUCCAGGAUCGGCCAGAGAAGCAACAGGUAUUUUGAAAAGCAAGAGGAAGUAUAGGCAGUGAAGUCUUCAAAAUAAUGAUAGAACUUUAGAGUAAUUGAACUUGGUAGCUGCAAACAGGGUAAAAUGGUGAGGUAGCAAUAAAAUGUGUUCAUAGGGGAGACAGUUAAUUGAGGAAGGGUAGGUUUGUACCACUUUCAUGAUGUCAGGGAUAUAUUUGGACCGAUAGUAUGACGUUAGGGGUAUAUUUGGACUGAUAGUAUAACGGAGGGUAAUAUUAGACCUUUUUCAAUAGUAUAAGGACAUAUUUGAUCCUUUUCCGAAACUUAAAUGUAUAAGACAAAAAGAUAAUUAGUUUAAUGUAGACAUAGUUUUUGGUUAUAUUAUUGUUAAUGAUUGUUGUUUGAAUAAUUAAAAUUGUGCUAAUGUCCUCAAACUGCCAUAUCCCACCAUAAUAUAGAAUUAUUCUCAAUUAUAACUUGGUUUAUUUUCAAUCAUCUUUUUUAUCUUUUAUCCCCGAGAGGACACUCCAUUUUAAUCUUCACGUAAACACAGUUAUAAUUCUUAUAUUUAAUUCCUUUAUCCUAUUUAAAAACCUUGCAUAAGCUUCACGUUACGAAGUAAAUUCUCAUUAGUAUACUACAACUCUGUCCCCCUAACUUAGAGGUGAAAGAUUUCGUUGGACUUGGAGGUAGAAUGCAAAAAUUGAAGGCCUUUUGGGAUUUUCUUUUUUUAAUAGCAAGUGAAUUUAAUCAUUUUUCUUGUGAAGGAGUUUGAAAUAAGAGCAGUAUAGUCUGACAGCUUCUUAGUUAAGAGUUUGUAUCUAUAUAAAAUUUAGUGUAGCACUUUUUUUGAACUAUGUACACUGAUAGAGAGUAGCCAGGAACUUUAGAUUCUUUCAA